CCUCUGCUCCCCUACGUCACCUACCGUCGAGCAAGCUCGUGUGCCCACGCGUCCACGGCUCCGGUGACGUGUAACGCGGCCGUGCUCACCCAACCGCCUUGCACGACUAUAUAUAGCCCCUCCCCACGGCUCCCGAGCACGUCAUCAGCUCCACCUUGCUCCCAGGACCCCGCCUAACCACUCGCCCGAGCUCGGGGACACUCCUAGCCCUCCGCCACGGUCGCUGGCAUCCCCCUCCUAAAUUCGCUCAAGCCAGCGCUCCCCUCUCACACCGUCCACCUCCAUGAGCUCCACUAUACUCCGGCGGACUCUCCCAGCUUCUUUCCUCGACCGCCGAAGCACCCGAGCCCCUUGUCCAUCUUCGACCGCCGGCGUCCGCCGUGGGAGUCGGAGCUUUGCUCCCUCCAUUGCUUCCCGGCGGGAACGAGCCCUCCAGGCGGGAGCGGCCCAUCUCCCUGAGUCCAACGAUGCCCGGAUCCUCGCCUGAGAUGGCCCGUGCCACCGGGGGUCGCUGCCGGCACGCGCGGCCGUCCACUACAUCGCGGGCGGGCGCGAGCAUGAAGACGAAGGCCGGGCCAGGCGAGCCCCACCUCACGUGACCCCACCAGUCAGCCUCCCAGGAGCCGGCCCCGCCACUGCUGACUGGGAUAAGUGGACACGGCUUUCAGAAAACGCACUUUCUCGUUGUCCCCCUUCGAGAGAGAACCCUUUCCGGUGAUUCUUUCCGCGACUUCACCGCACAUCUUCCCGGAGCCUUCUUCACCCCAGGCAAGCCACAACACCCAUUUGCAUGAUGGCCAUGCAGUAGCCAUGGUUUUCAACUUGAAUAUUUAAUAAAUGUCUAUUUGUUUUGAUAUGGUUGUCGUUAUUUCGGUUAUGCUUAUGGACCGCUGGUUACCGUCAUGAUAUGUUUUCUUGCACUCUGUUAUCAUGUUCUACCUGAUAGUAUUACUUUUAUAUUGGUCAUGCUUGAUAGUAGUACAUGUUGGGUUGGUCAUGUUCUUUGGUGCAUGACUAACAUCGGUUACCGAGUACCGUUGUUAUGCAUGUUCCUUUACAUCCAGUGGGUUAAAUGCUUGCAUGGUAGUUUUAUCAUUAUGUUAUUGCAUGGUACUUAUUGUUGAUGCUAGUGUUCAUGUUAUGAUAUGAGUAGUGUUCUAGUUGUGAUUUUCAUGCUCGUCAGUAUGCCAUGCUCAUCUAGAUAAAUGGUUAAAUGUUAUUGUUAUGCUCGUUGAUUAUUAUGCACCCCCAUGCUCAUGUUGAUAUCAUGUUCAUGCAUUAUAGUUGCAUCAUGUUAUUUUUAGCAUGGCUCAGCAUAUGCAUUCAAGUUUAACCGGAUAAUAAUGAACUUGAACAACUGUUGGCUGAGUCAUGGUGCCACCAAAUCGAGCUUACCGGUGCAACCACACUUGCCUUAUGGGGGGUCCUAACUGGGUCUAUUGUUGUGCCUCUCGCCGGUGCCUCCAAUGAGGGAAGGUUAUGCGCGGGCGCUACCUUGGCCAGGUAGGACGGCAUAAGCCUUGUGAGCCCGAGUUUGGUUAUGUACACUGUGCACAUCUCCCUGUUUUGGACCAUUUAUUGUUUUUGCCACGACGGUGGCCGUUGGUGCCUUUGGUAGGCACGGGGACACCCAUGACUUAGCCCAAAGGGGAGUUGGCCGGAGUGUCCGGGAGAGUGUCAUGGCAGUAGAUCGGUUUUGUCGGAAUGUCGUUGGUCCACGCGAAUGGGAGUGCAAGGCCAUGGGUUCCGUGGUGUGGGUAUAGUGUGCUAACCUCUGGAGAGUGUUUAUUAAAUCUAUCGAUAGCCGCGCCUGUGGAUAUGGGCCCAGUUCGUAGUCGGUCACACUAUGGGUCAACAGUAAUAAUAAUAUGAUUAAUAACAACCCCGGUUCGAUGAUGAAAGAAGUUGGUUGAUAUUUAUGUGAUCAUGAGAGGAUCACCGUGGUAUCGAGGAUACCGCGUUGUGGAUAUUUGUGAUGUUAUGCGAGAAUCACGGGUAAAGGUCAAGCUCCUUGUGGUCAUGUAUUGAUUAAUACGGUAUUGUUUAUACCAAUAUCGACUUGAUCCUGAGAUGAUCGUGUGAUGUCCGAGGAUGGUAAGUGAUGCAGAUGAUGGUUACGAGGUAACCCCGAGUAGAGUAAUUUGAUGCAUGAUAGUGUUAUCAUGUUGCAUGUUAGUAACAUCAUGUUUAUAUGUUCGUGCCAUGCUUAUGUUGUGCUUUUGGUAUCAUGUUGUUCAUGCCAUGUUGUUCAGAUGAUAUCAUGUUAAUCCUUGUUAACCGGUAAUUGCCAUGCUAUUGUCUGUCUUGAUUGCUUUGGUUGUUGUGAGCUUGCAAGUACACUCAAUGUACUGACCUGGCGUGUCAUGCCAGUUUGCAGGUCAUGCCGGAUUUGAUUGUUUGUUUGCCGUGGAUCCCUUGUUUGCGAGCUAGGAUAAGCUUUCCAGCCAGAGUCCCUGCAGAGCGGAGUUCACCACCGUCGUCGUUGUUCCGCUACCAGUAGUCUGUCCGCUGCUUCGUGUUGUUCUGCUGCUUGCAUGGAGCAACCGUGGCACGCGUAGUUUCGCUGUGCCGAUGUAACCCCCUUGUACCCAUAUAGAUUGUAAUAAAGAGCUGAUUUGUUCUA